AUGCAAGGUAUCCAAACGUCCAGUACUUUAUUGAAGCAUUGUCGUUAGGCAAUCUGUUCUGUGGAAAACCCUGGAGUGAUUAUGCUCACAUAAGUAGCCAUAGUCUACAACUGACAACAUUUUACAAUUGUUGUAAUAGACGGCCGUAUUGCCCCUGGUUUCUGUAUCACGAUGCUGGUCGUGACAGAAUGAACCGGUCUCUCAG
rnacentral:rRNA from 1 species